UUUGUUUCUGUUUAUUAUCUCAUGAUCAUGUAAUCUUUGAGA
rnacentral:sRNA from 1 species